CAUUCUCUCUGACCGAGGCGCUAGAUCUUCUAUCUAUUCGAUUGACCCUAAAGCUAGGAAGACUGCCCUACCUUCGACUGAGAGUGUCUUCGCCUAGAAACUCUUCUUGCGUACUUGACUUAUAGGCUUGACGCCCAUUUCCUCUAGGCUAGUUCAUUCCCGGAAAAGAAAACUAGUUGAAUUAGCGAGGAUCCUUAAGAAAGCGGGUGCCAUUCUGUCAGCUUCGUCCCAAUGGAUAUCUUUUCUCUCAAACAGCAACCUAAGGAAUCUCUCUUUCCACAUGAGGUUUGAGGGAUAAGGUCUUCUGGAAACCUUUUGAAGUGGGCAAACCAAGUCAAAGAAAGAAGCAACUCUCCCAGGACCGGAGAAGCUCAAUUUCAAAGGUUAGGAGUUUAGUUCUGACUAGUACUGCCGAGGAGCGAUUCCUCUGAAUGGCAAGUAUGAGUUCAACUGCCCUUCCUUCGGAGAAUGAAGUCAGGGAGUGAGGAGACAGAAAGAAUAUUUUCAUACCUUAAACCUAUAGCUAUCAACAGUCCGCACCUUUGGUUUUGUCAACACUGAGAAGCGAAGAGCUCAAGGUCAGGCAAGGCAGUCUAAGAGGCUAUGGAAUAGUUGCCUCAAAAUAAGGGGUUAUAUAUGAUUAACCAUUUAUAGACAACUUUACAGAUUUGUUUAUGGAUCUUUGAGAAUUGAUUUUCAUUUCCCUGAGAUCGUGGAGAAGACAUGUCCAGUCCAAUGAAUUUGUUUCCCUUAUCUCUCGGCUCGGAAGGGCACCAACGGUCGUGUUAUCAUACAGGAUAGCUGAGAUAAAAGCUAUGUUAUUAUGCGUGGAGCCU
rnacentral:lncRNA from 1 species